rnacentral:misc_RNA from 1 species
AGAAUUUUACACUAAGCACCCUAAACUAAGUAACAAACUGAAAACAAAUCUUUUGAAAAUACAUAAAACUAAGAAAUUUGUGGUGAGAGCGUUAAGUAAUGUCAGCCUCCGGAUAUGAAAAGAUAUGUCAAAUUCCGGAAUAAGCUAACAAGCACGUUGUAUCAAUAAUUUAAAAGUUACAUCAGUAAUAGGAAAAACUUCUGGCUGACAAUGACCAUGAUGGUUUAUACGACUAGUAUAUAAGAAUAAAAAAAAACAAGUUGACUGCCAUACGAUGUGACUCAACCGCAUGUUUACGCCAUGGACUGCUGCUUGAUGGUAUUCGUGUUGAGUUUCUUCUGCUGCUCCACCACCGGAGUGGAUACCUUAUAUGGAUGGUGUGCUUUGGGCUUGAGCUCCCAAUACCGUCGCCUCGGUCAACAACUUAAGGGGAUGCGCUCCUGCUUCAAUCCACACCGUUCUGACUACGGAUUAAGUGGUCUAUUCGUCGAGCACGCUCGUCUGCUUAAAUUAGUGCAACAAUUUAAUUUAUGUUUCAUGGAGAUAGCUUUUGUGGAGGUUGUAAUAAUCUGUGUGCUCUAUUGUUCAGUAAUUUGCCAGUAUAUAAUGCCACACACCAACCAGAACUUCGCCUUCCUGGGUUUCUUUUCGAUGGUAGUUACGACCCAGUUGUGCAUCUAUCUUUUUGGUGCCGAACAGGUCCGUUUGGAGGCUGAGCGAUUUUCCAGGCUGCUAUACGAAGUAAUCCCUUGGCAAAACCUUCCUCCACAACACCGGAAGCUUUUCCUUUUUCCACUUGAGCGCGCCCAACGAGAAACUGUUCUAGGUGCUUAUUUUUUCGAACUGGGCAGACCUCUUCUU